UAAACGAUGGAUGUUAAACGUCGGGGCGAUCACCUCGGUGUUGCAGUUAACACAUUAAACAUCCUGCCUGGGUAGUACAUUCGCAAGAAUGAAACUCAAACGGAAUUGACGGGGACCCGCACAAGUGGUGGAGCAUGUUGCUUAAUUCGACGGUACACGAAAAACCUUACCUAGACUUGACAUCCUUGGCAAAACUAUAGAAAUAUAGUCGAGGUUAACCGAGAGACAGGUGGUGCAUGGCUGUCGUCAG
rnacentral:rRNA from 1 species